rnacentral:lncRNA from 10 species
GCCAGGCUGGAGUCCGCUGGUGGAAGACAGGACACAGGCUGGAAAGGAAAACCCAACACGAUGACUGCCCCUCGCAGGCCACAGUCAGCCCGGCCCCAGGAGAGAGACCCGUGGAGCCCUAUGUCUCAGCAGGCAAGGUAGGGGGACGGGGCAGGGGCAGGGAGGUCCCCGAGUGCUGGCCAGGGGAGGAAUCUGCAGUGGUUGCCGGCUAAGGAGGGUCUGCCCUGGCCCCUGGGGCAUGGAGGCCCCACAGCCAGGCCCCACCCCCAGCUCCUGGGACCUGCUGGCCUUUUAGGAGACGGGGGAGGCUGGGCCUGACCUCUCUGCAGGUGGUGUCACUGCAGGGCCACACUGCACUGUGCUGGUUGUUGUCCAGGGUGGGCAGAUAGAGGGAUGUGGACGGUGGGAGCCAGGGGAAGGGCAGAAGGGGACACUGGGCCACCCUGGAGAAGCCAGGUCAGGGCUGGCCCAGCAGGAUGGGGGCUCUCUGCCUCUAUGGCCAGCAUUCCCAGCUGAGUCCCCAACUCUGCAGCCAGGAAGCCCCGUAGUGUGAAGGAUGGGGACAUCGCGAUGCCCUGGCCCUGAGCCCACCAGGUGGCCCCAGGGCCCCACCCUGCCUGGCUCUUCCUGCAUGGGUCUGGGGUGAUGGGGGCUCAUCUGAGGCCCAGUGCUGCCCACCUCGAAUCCCCAAAUCCCAAAUUGGAUUAGUUGUGUUUAGAAAGCAGCAAAGCUGCUAUAUUUGAGCAAAGGCUCAGCAGAUUACCCUGGGCCAAGAGGGUGUCUGCCUGUGUGAGGGGGAUUUGAGGAGGAAAAACUGCACUAAACAAGUGUUCAUUGAAAAGAAACUUGGGGGAUCAUCUGAGUCAGCCGGGCCCUCCACCUGCCCCAUAACACCUUCUCCAGCAUGGGCUCCUGCUGCUGCUGGGACAACCAAGCAGGAGUGGACGGGGUCAGGCCACAGGCCACUGGGCCCAAGGCCAGGAAGGGGCGCCCAGGACUGCCCAUGGGAGAAGGGCGUGGUGCCGACACGAGGUCACCUGGAGUCCCUGGGACUGGCCCUCCACCUCGUGACUCAGUCGCCACCCGGUGGCCCUCUCAGAAGCCCAGGGCCCAGCAUACAGGAAGCUCCAUGAGUGCUCAUCAUCACACACACUCCAGAGGCUGAGAACAUCUUGGAGGCCUGGGGCCUGCUGGCCAGACCCUGUCCUGGGCCCUGAACACAGGCUGGGCCUGGAAGGGACAGUGAGGGGGGCCAGAGCCCAUGCCUGCUCAGUGCAGCAAGCCCAGGCACCUGGUGGGUGGGCCCUGCAGCCAGGGAGGCCCCUGCACCCCACCCUUCCCAGCCCUGCCCUGGGUACCGUGUGCCACAUCUCAGAGCCCACCCAUGGGGCCCUCCCAACUCCAGCCAGGAGGGAGGAUAGAGAACUUUUAUUUCAGAAGAGUGCAAAUAAACAAAUCCUUCCUUCCCCCACCAUAAAGAGCCCGGCUGGCUUUAGGAGAGAAGGCAGAAUUUUUAGCCUCUCCUUUCCUCAAGGCACAGCAGGCCGAGCCUGUGUCACUCAUGGCCCCUUUUACAAGUAAAGAAUCCAGCUCUGGGCAGUCAGGUCUGCCCAGUGGAGGUGUUUGCCCUGGGGGGCCGGCUCACCUAUCCGUAGGACCUGGCUCCUAGGGGUCCAGCCAGUCCCUGGCCUCCUGUUGAUACGGAAAGGAAGUGCUGAGAAGGGAAAAGCGUGGUCCCUUUAAAUGAUACAGAGGAGGGACGGGAAGUGCUCCGUAGAGAAGGGCGUGGUCCCUGCCUAGGGCUCCACCCCCACGAACCUAGGUGAGGACAGGCAUUUCCUGCCCAAAUGUUGCAUUUCCCAAGACCACCCUGGCCUGCCAUGCCUCCAUCCUAUGCCUAUAAAAACCCAAGACCCUAGCAAGGCAGAGACAGAAGCCUCUGUGUGGGGAGAGGAACACACUGGUGGAAGAAGACAAGCUGCUGGACAUCCCGAGAAUGUUGCCUGACUCCAGGGGAAAACCAUCUCCCCUCUGGCUCCCCCAUCUGCUGAGAGCUACUUCCACUCAAUAAAACCUUGCACUCAUUCUCCAAG